ensembl:lncRNA
CAUGCUUGUAAUCCUAGCACUCUGGGAGGAUGGCGAAGAAGGAUUCCAAGUUCGAGCCCAGCCUGGGCAACUUAGUGAGACCCUGUUCAAAAUUUUAAAAGGGCCAAAGAUAUAGCUCAGUCCUGGGUUUAAUCUCCAAUACUGAAAAAUAAAUAAAAUUGGUUCAACCUGACGUGGUGGUCCACAGGUAGUGGAUCACAAAUUUGAGCCCUGCUUGGUCAAUUCAGCUAUUUAGCAAGACCCCAUCUCAAAGAAUAAAAAUUUAAAAAGGGGAUGUAGCUCAGUGAUAAGGCCCUGGUUUAACCCCCUGUAGAGAGAAAAGUCAGGCGUGAUCACGCACGCCUAUCAUCCUAGCUAAAUGGAAGACUAAGGCAGGAGAAUCACAAGUUGGGGGGCCUGGGGAAUUUAGUGGGAGCCUGUCUCAAAUAAAAUUGGAAACACAACAGAGGAUGCUUUUUCCGCUUCAUUUCUGGAAGCCCCGCCUAUUCCGAGCAAGACGUCACUCAGGGAGCCUCCGUCUCCACGGCGACGGAAUGCAGCCUCGGAAAUCCCUGCGCAAGCGCAGAAAGAUUCCACUGGGGGGGAGGGGCGCGCCAGACCCGCCCCCUUACGCACAUUCAUCUACUGGGACUUCCCCACGGCCCCUUUCUGUGCCCGGUGUCCGCUCGCCCAGUUGACCGUCAGGCGCGAGUCUCUCUCUUUCUGAGGACCGUCCUCUCCUCACUAUGUGGCCUUCUUUGCCAGGAGGCGAUCGCGCAGACACAGAAGGCCCCAGGCCCGGCCGGCCCAGGCCCACCCGUUCGAUCGCAACCGUACACUCGAGUCUGCGCCGGGAAUGUCACACGCGCGGGGUCUCCUGGGAGCUCCCGCCCCGCCCCCUUGCGCGGUGCUGCCUGCGUUAUGCGCAGGCGCUCCUGGGAGCUCCCGCCCCGCCCACUGGCCCAGGUCCGCGAACUACGGCUCCCUGUAGGCAGUGCAGCGGCCUGGACCAGAGCCGGGGUCGCGACGGGCGGCCGGGUGGGCUCGGGCGCGGCGGGGCGGCCUGGCCUGGGUCCUGAGCAGCGGGACAGUCGGCUGACGACGAGGUGCAGGCUCAGCGCUGCCUGGUUACCCCGCGGCCCUGGGUCGAGCGCGCCGGAAAACUCUGGGCAAGUGGGGGCCGGGCCCGGCGGCCUUUCGGAGCCGGGGGCGGUGGCAGCGGACCCGCGCGCCGGGGGAGCGGGGCAGGGCUGGCGCCUCGGUCCCUCCGUCUGGGGCCGCCGCUGGUGCCUGUGCGUCCGCAGCCUCGGCCGGGACCGCGCGGGGCCCCGACGUCCGCAGUCCCGGGCUGACCGCGGCUGACGCAGGGGUCCUGGCCUCCCAACCGCGAGCGCCCUGAGGCGGGACGCGGCGCCGGGGUCGCGCUGUGUCGCAGGUGCUAACUGUGCGUCUCGGCACCCCGGCCGCAGGGUUGGAUCGCUUGGUGCCCACGCCGAAGCUCUGCACGGUCGAGGCCAGUCUCUGGGGUCCAGGAGCCAGGGCUGCAGCCCGAGCCUCAAGGCGGGCCGGGACCGUGGACGACCGGACAGACUGGUUUGCUGCCUGCCCGCUUGGUUUGCUGUGUUCUGUGUUGGCAAUGGCUGCUAGCUUUCCACUGGAAAUCUUGGUGGCUGAGCGAAUUUGUGACCCAGGAAGUAACAAGUAAAUGCCUGGGAUGCUGACUGGAGGCUGCUGUGUGCUCUGAGGUGAGUUCUGAUUUCUCUGAAGCACAUUUGCUGACCAAGUCCUCGUACUCUGCUGGCCCCACAGUCUUUGUCGACAUUCGUAGCAAGCUGAGAGCCUCCAAAACCCAGACUAGCUAGCAAGUCCAGCAUUUCUGGCCAAGGAGACAUUGGGAACCCUGCGAGCCGGUUUGCACUUCGACGCUCGCGUGUGUGUUCGCUUCGGCAUUCAGCAUCCUGAAGUGUGAGGUGGCAGCUGUGUGCUUAGGAGAGGGGUGAAGGCCCCUGCUCUGCGGCUCCAGGUGAGGCCCUCCAUGUGCCUGGAGCUGGGAUUGCGGCAGCUCUCAGACCUUGCUGGACAGGGCAGUGCACACGGGGCUGGGCUGCGGUCCCACAAGGCUGUGGCUGUCUCCACGAGACUUCAGCAGGUCAGCUUAGAGUCCGAGGCCAGCCGCGGGGCUCUCCGCUUUCCCGAGGCCUCUGGCCCAGAGCUAACCAGCUUGCAGGGUGCUCAGGGCUCACAAGAACCUUCCUCUGUGCCUGGAGCUGUCAGGGUGAGGACAGGAGGGUGAGAGCGAGUGGCAGAGAGGCCUCCUGACCUCCAGGAAGGCCUGGCAUGUGGC